rnacentral:rRNA from 1 species
UGGGGAAUAUUGGACAAUGGGGGCAACCCUGAUCCAGCCAUGCCGCGUGUGUGAAGAAGGCCUUCGGGUUGUAAAGCACUUUCAGCGGGGAGGAAAGGGCGCUGGUUAAUACCUGGCGCAGUUGACGCUACCCGCAGAAGAAGCACCGGCUAACUCCGUGCCAGCAGCCGCGGUAAUACGGAGGGUGCGAGCGUUAAUCGGAAUUACUGGGCGUAAAGCGCGCGUAGGCGGCUAUCUAAGUCGGUUGUGAAAGCCCCGGGCUCAACCUGGGAAUGGCAGUCGAUACUGGAUGGCUGGAGUAUGGGAGAGGACAGUGGAAUUCCAGGUGUAGCGGUGAAAUGCGUAGAGAUCUGGAGGAACAUCAGUGGCGAAGGCGACUGUCUGGCCUGAUACUGACGCUGAGGUGCGAAAGCGUGGGGAGCAAACAGG